rnacentral:misc_RNA from 1 species
AAGUCGUAACAAGGUUUCCGUAGGUGAACCUGCGGAAGGAUCAUUACCGAUUUUAUAAAAAAUAAAAUAAAAAUGCUCAUGAUGGUGAUUUUACCGUCAUCGUCAUGUUGCAAACUUUUUCUAUAGAAUUUUGAAAAUGUCAAAAAAAAUGUAAAAUUCUAUAGCGUGUAUUUACCAGUGUUGUGAUACACGUUAAACUUUUAUGAUUUUGAGCCUGAAUGAAAUGUGGCUCAUCUCAUAGCUCAAUAUCCUUGUAAUGAGGAUUUUGAGCAAAGCAAAAAUUUGAAAAUUUGAAAAUAUUAAUACAAAAAAAUAUAUAAAAAAAGAAAAAAAAGACUACCUCGAGUGGUGGAUCACUCGGCUCGUGG